AGGGGAAUCUGUUAACUUCAGUGGAGUUACUCCUAUUUUGCAUCAGUGUGGAUGAGACCAGAAUUGGAUCCCAUUUUUACCUAAGGCUCCCAGAUGGAUCAUUUUCAUUCUCUGACGCCUGAGGAGAGACCUAUCAAAGCGGAUUGCUUCUGAUGUUUUGCCCUCUCAGCUUUUGGUAUAAGGAUAACCGUGUAACUGUUUUUACAGAUGAGAGAUAGUAUUGCCAACUCUAAACGUUUAAAAAUCCUGAGUCAAGCUACCCAAAUUCAUCAGUUGGGCUUAAAAAU